UGGCUCCUUCCCCUGGAGCUGCUAAGUGUUGGGAUGUAAGUCAUGGCCUCUCGCAGACAUCCUGCCUGUCAGGUGGACUCACUCUUUCUAAGAUAGAGAGAGAGAUCCCUGAAAAUAGCAUUUGAACCAGUUCUGGAUCCAGCUCUGCCCAAAGCCUGCUACUCCCUUUGGCUAAAUUUCAUUUCCCAGCCAAUAAACUCGCUAUUUUUAAGCUAGUUGAAUCAGCCUCUGUCUCUUGCAUCCAAAAGUGCUCUAACUAAGAAUCCAAGGAGAGUUCUCUGGAGUCCACUACUCAACAGUGGGAGCAAGUGUGCGGAAGGGCGUGUUGCUGACUCACUGGCCACACAAAGACUGACCAGAGAGGGCUUUGAGCCACUGCUCAAAGACGCUGGCAGUCCUUGCAGGGCAGCCCUCUAAAUGAAACCUUAUUAAGCAACCCCUGGCUUCAACACUAUUCUUAGCUGCCUGGAAUUGCGUGGAGGAGGCCAGCCGGGGCACAACCAAACAGGGUCACCUCCCUACCUCCUCCUGUCGCAGCCUCUGACGCAGGCCUGAAAUCUGGGGCAGAUGGAUUUUUCAGCUCAUCUCGUCACUCUCCUCUACCUGGGCAGACACAUGAGUCAGCCUUGGGAACAGCUCUGAUCUUCUCACCCUGCACCCCGACAAAGGUGAAUUAUGCUCCAGUGAUAACCCCUGGUUACCUACGGUCAAAGGUUAUGAGUGAGAGUCUCUUUCCCAGAAGAUGCAGCGAAAAUGUCAUUGCAUCUCAUUGGCUCCGACUAGGUCACGAAUGAUACAUGAACGUCAAUGGAAAGGGAAAUGAGACACGCUGAUGGCUUAGGCCUGGGUCACCAACGCCACGCCUGGGGCUGGGUGUGGAAUCAACUUUAAUGGGAACUGCAUGGAAAUUGGGUACAGUCACCAGGGGGACUCUGGCAGUGUUUACUGCAGUGAGUUUUGCCUUAUAAGAAACUAUAUGUAUGUGUCACAUAAUGUUUUGUCUCCACUGCACAAGCCAGCUCCAUACCUUGAAAAUAGCCAGCAUCUGCGCAUGUAAAAUAAGAAUUCCCCACAAAGCCAGACUGACUUGGAGAAAGGGUUACUUACUGAUUUCAAUUCCAGGAGUCAGGCUAGUUUGUUAAAAUUUUGAUAUAAGUGCGUCAGCAUAGAAAACUUAAACUCAAAAGUUUCUCAAAGUCUAAAGCAGGACCAUUUUCUAUUCUUAAAGGCAUGAAGAUCCUCCACCGGUUUGUUAUUAAAGCCUGUUGCAGUAAGA